ACGCUCUACCGAUCUGGAGCAUUCUAGGAAUCAGACCCAGAUUGUUAGCACAGGUUUGGUCUGAAGUGUAUUCAGCUAGCAUCAUAUUAGUGCUUCCUAACUGCUUGCAUCCAAGCACUUGCUAUGGCUAGCUUAUACUAACUUUUUAUACAUACUAACUAAUUAUCAUCACAACUUUACAAGGAAAGUAUUACCCCAUUUCCCAGAUGGGAAAACCGAGGCUCAGAGUGGUUUCUCAAGGUCAUUCAAUUAACAAGGAAAUGAAGUAGGACAUAAUUAUCUCUAGACUUCUAACCUCAAGCAAUAAACAUUACUUAAUCAUCAGUCUGGGGCUGCUCUGGUUGAAAGGACCACAGUGGUCUCGGUGAACACCGACAGCUCCUUUCCCUUCUAGGCCGCCAGAGUCACUGCGUUAUUUGUUCCUAGUGAGGCAACGGCAAGGGGAUUGUGGCAGGUCACUGGCCUCUGAUGCAGGCUCCCCAUUAGAUUGAUCAGAGAGCCACCAGAUGAAUCCAAGCCUUGAACUGACACAGCGGUGGGGCUGGCACACAGCCUCUGAACUUUUGCCCUGAUUACAAGGAGUUACACCAGGUUCCUCGGUUACACAACCUGAUGGACAAGAUGCCCACGUUCUGCUGAGCUGGUGCUACAGAGCCCUGCUCACAGUCCUGUCUCUGGUGAUCUGGUAGAUCAGGCAAUGAGGAUUUUACCUAAGAUGCUUUACACUGAGAAUUGGCUUUGUUGGCAACCUAAUCAUGGCACCUGAAACUUAAACUCGACGGUGAAGUCCGU